rnacentral:rRNA from 1 species
UACGUGUGGUCCGAGCGUUGUCCGGAAUGACUGGGCGUAAAGGGUGCGUAGGUGGGCACAUAAGUCAGGUGUGAAAUCCCCGGGCUCAACCUGGGAAGUGCGCUUGAAACUAUGUGUCUCGAGGCUGUCAGGGGUAAGCGGAAUUCCCGGAGUAGCGGUGAAAUGCGUAGAUAUCGGGAAGAACACCGGUGGCGAAGGCGGCUUACUGGGACAGAACUGACACUGAGGCACGAAGGCGUGGGGAGCAAACAGG